rnacentral:rRNA from 1 species
GAUGAACGCUGGCGGCGUGCCUAAUACAUGCAAGUCGAACGGACGGGCGAUAAGCUUGCGGCGCUCAUGUUAGCGGCUGGCGGGUGUGUAACGCGUGUAUAACCUACCUGUAUUUCGGGUAUAACUUCGAAAAACGGGAUCUAAUACGAUAGGAUAUUUUGAACCGCAGUAGGCAAGGGUAAAUUACGGUCUUUGGGUCACUUAUAGCUGUAUCCGCGCUGCAUUAGCUGGUUGGUAAGGUAACGGCCUACCAAGGCAACGAUGCAUGGCCGAACUGAGGGGGUGAUCGGCCACACUGGAACUGAGCCACGGUCCAGACUACUAAGGGAGGCAGCAGUAGGGAAUCUUCCGCAAUGGGCGAAAGCCUGACGGAGCAACGCCGCGUGAGUGAUGAAGGCCUUCGGAUCGUAAAACCCUCUUAUUAGGGAAGAACAUCUGUGUAAGUAAACGUGCCCAUCUUGACGGUACCUAAUAAGAAAGCACCGGCUAACUACGUG